GCCCAGGUGGUGGAAUUGGUAGACACAAGGGACUUAAAAUCCCUCGAAGGCAACUUCGUGCCGGUUCAAGUCCGGCCCUGGGUACCA
rnacentral:tRNA from 1 species